CUCAUCACACCGGAAGCUGUUACGUCACUUCCGCUGUAUCAGCUCCAGCUGUGAUGAGUG
rnacentral:pre_miRNA from 1 species